GCCGAAGUGUUGGAAUUGGUAGACAAGCAUGAUUCAGGUUCAUGUGCCAGCAAUGGUGUGGGGGUUCAAGUCCCCCCUUCGGCA
rnacentral:tRNA from 1 species